rnacentral:rRNA from 1 species
UACGUAGGUCGCAAGCGUUGUCCGGAUUUACUGGGCGUAAAGAGCGCGCAGGCGGCUGGUCAAGUCCGAUGUGAAAUCUCCCGGCUCAACUGGGAAACUGCAUCGGAAACUGAUCGGCUUGAAGAUGGGAGAGGGUAGUGGAAUUCCCGGUGUAGUGGUGAAAUGCGUAGAUAUCGGGAGGAACACCAGUGGCGAAGGCGACUACCUGGCCCAUUCUUGACGCUGAGGCGCGAAAGCUAGGGGAGCAAACGGG